rnacentral:pre_miRNA from 1 species
GUUUGCACUAAAGAUUGUCCAAAAGGAAUAUUGUUUUAUGCAGAAGACAAAUUACAUCGGAUAAGAAAAAUCACACCACAUAAUUGCUGCAUUGCUUUAGAUCUCUAUUUCUGCAUAAAACAAUAUUCCUUUUGGACAAUCUUUAGUGCAAAC